rnacentral:rRNA from 1 species
GUAGGUGGCAAGCGUUGUCCGGAAUUAUUGGGCGUAAAGCGCGCGCAGGCGGUCCUUUAAGUCUGAUGUGAAAGCCCACGGCUCAACCGUGGAGGGUCAUUGGAAACUGGGGGACUUGAGUACAGAAGAGGAAAGCGGAAUUCCAAGUGUAGCGGUGAAAUGCGUAGAGAUUUGGAGGAACACCAGUGGCGAAGGCGGCUUUUCUGGUCUGUAACUGACGCUGAGGCGCGAAAGCGUGGGGAGCAAACAGGGAUUAGAUACCCUGGUAGUCCACGCCGUAAACGAUGAGUGCUAAGUGUUAGGGGGUUUCCGCCCCCUUAGUGCUGCAGCUAACGCAUUAAGCACUCCGCCUGGGGAUACGGCCGCAAGGCUG